rnacentral:rRNA from 1 species
CUACGGGUCGCUGCAGUGGGGAAUCUUGCACAAUGGGCGAAAGCCUGAUGCAGCCAUGCCGCGUGAAUGAUGAAGGCCUUAGGGUUGUAAAAUUCUUUCGCUAGGGAUGAUAAUGACAGUACCUAGUAAAGAAGCCCCGGCUAACUUCGUACCAGCAGCCGCGGUGAUACGAAGGGGGCUAGCGUUGUUCGGAAUUACUGGGCGUAAAGCGCACGUAGGCGGGUUUUUAAGUCAGAUGUGAAAUCCCAAGGCUCAACCUUGGAACUGCAUUUGAAACUGGAAGCCUAGAGUCCGGGAGAGGUUUGUGGAAUACCGAGUGUAGAGGUGAAAUUCGUAGAUAUUCGGUGGAACACCAGUGGCGAAGGCGACAAACUGGACCGGUACUGACGCUGAGGUGCGAAAGCGUGGGGAGCAAACAGGAUUAGAUACCCCAGUAGUC